rnacentral:lncRNA from 1 species
UGUGUUUGAAGUACUUGGGAAGAAGAUCCCGGGCGAACUCGGCGGGGCGCCAGACGACGAACGUGUUCCCAUCCUCGUUCCACGAGAUCACAUCGUCGAUGGCCGGAUCGUCGACAAGCUGGUACGUCUUCGUCAGGAACGGCGUGGGCAUCGACCUCUGCCCGUCCGCCACCACCGUCACCGACGCCGGCUGUUCCCCCUCCACCGGCGGCGGCGGAGGACGAGGCAUCGCUCCCAGCGCCGAUCCCUCCACGGAUCUCAACCCAAGACAAGUCCUCCUCUUCUCUCGGAAAAAACCCUCCAGGGAAAGGAAAGAUGACGGAGAUCGGAAGAUGGAUUUAUUUUCUUGGUCAAGGAAGUUUCUGAAGGGAGGAGGGGAAGGCGUGCGGUAGGUUCGAGGAUUCAAAGAUUCUGGAAGGUUCGGGGCAGGGUUAUAUUACAUCGAGUUGGGAGAGGGGAAGCGGAGAGGAGGAAGAGGGAGGAAUUGGAAGAAGAAAGAAAAAGGAGGAGGGUGGUGGGGGAGAAAGAAGGCAAUCCGUAAGCCAUCCCAUCAACCGAAAAGGACGGAAACUGAAGGAAAGCGCGAGAAGCACCCCCCAGACGUUUUUUCCAGAACGUUCCCAGAAGGCGUUUCACACCAAUGCUCGUCGAGACACGUUUCGGUCGCCAAGUGGACGCUGGAAGAGAUAAGGUUACUGCGACCGGAGUGCCGGAAUUAAAGCGGAGAGAGAGGAGAACGGAACGUCGGGCGAGGCGGAUGAACAGAACCGGAUCAGCUCCCUUACCAACUAUAAUCCAAGUCUUAGAUGGAGGUCCGAGAUUAGGAACACGAAUCACGAAGUCCAGUUUGGUGGAAAAUAGGCGCGAAUGUUUUGUAUUUGUGUGGGUUGGGGCGGAGAUGAUCCGAGACCGCAAACGGAGGUAAGAAAGGCAAACAGAAACGAACACGUGUAAAAAUGCGAUAAAAGGGAGGUGGGAUCUAAAAGGCCGGCGCUUUCUUUGUUUCGGACUCCCGAGAGAGACCGUCUAGAAGUUUUCCUCUUUUGGGUUUCCAAUCAGCUGGAUACCGCAAAACGCCAAACAUCGUUUUCUGCGAUCGGAAUCUUCGCACGUGCGACGGAUCGUCAACGUUGCAAGCGAUGAUUUGAUGCGUAAGUUCUUCGGGUUUUUGAUCGAUGCAGCUGAUCUUCGCCUUUUGCCGCGCAGGCUGAUUGGCGUUUGUUUCGUCCUCACACUUCUAGAAGCGGUUCGUUCACGUGCACGUUACCUGAGAAAGGAGCUUCUGAUUACGAUCAGACGGGCACGGAGCGACGAAUCCUCCCAAAUAUAUUAAAAUAUAUUAGAAGGCGGCAACGGCGACCGCCAUGCUUAAUUGUAGAUUAUGAACGUGACAAAAACGCAAGGUCGCAAGUUACAAGCUGAAAGAUCACAUCACACAUUGGAAAAUUCACUCGGUCUGUGACUGUG